rnacentral:tRNA from 1 species
GGCCGGAUGGCGAAGUGGUAACGCUGCGGACUGCAAAUCCGCCAUGCGUGGGUUCGAAUCCCACUCCGGCCUCCA